UACGGAGGGUGCAAGCGUUAUCCGGAUUCACUGGGCUUAAAGCGUGUGUAGGCGGAUCUGUAAGUACCUUGUGAAAUCCCACGGCUCAACCGUGGAACUGCUUGGUAUACUGCGGGUCUUGAGCCACCUAGGGGCAAGUGGAACAAACGGUGGAGCGGUGAAAUGCGUAGAUAUCGUUUGGAACGCCAAUGGUGAAAACAGCUCGCUGGGGCUGCGCUGACGCUGAGACACGAAAGCCAGGGGAGCGAACGGG
rnacentral:rRNA from 1 species